rnacentral:lncRNA from 1 species
AGUUGCUUUUGAAAGAGUUUCCUGGUGUGAUUGAUAUUAUCAGUCAAGGAACUUGUCCAGGAUCAACAAGGAAGUUGAUUAGUUAUGGUUUAGACAAAUAGAAUUUUAGAUGUUUAUAUGUAUAUAUUUCCAGAUGACAUGUAGAGAUAUCAGAUUAAGCCAUCAGAGAGAUUAGAUCUAGAAGCAUAGAUUUUGAAGUAAUUCUUCAUAGACAUAAUAUCUGAACUCCUCAAAGUGAUUUUGAUGAGACAGAGACAGAGAUUAGACAGAGAUCAUGCUAGAGACAGAGAGGUAGAAGGAUGGUAAAAGACAAAGACAUAGAGCUAGAGAGACAGAGGAAUACAAAUAUAAAAAGAAGGGAAAAUUGUGCAAGACAAUUUUGAGGAAUAUCCACAAUUAGGGGGCAAGAAAUGGAUUGUGAUUUAGAAAAGAAGACUAAAAGGGAUUAGCCCCCUAGGGAGAGAACAUUAGAUAAGAUAAAGUAAUGCCACAGAACCCAACUGAGUAGUGAUCGUCCUAGAGAAAGCGGUGGCAAAGGUGUUAAAAACUAUAGAAGAUGAUGAUGAGAAGGAAAAGACAAAAAUAACCCUAGUAAUUAUCAACUAAAAUUAAAUUGUGAAUAAUUUCCCACAUAGUCCAUUAUUAUUGUCAUGUCAGGACUUUUUGUAGUUCAAAGAACUAGAAACAAAUUAAAUGAAAAUCUCUCUCUCUCUCUCUCUCUCUCUCUCUCUCUCUCUCUCUCUCUCUCUCUCUCUCUCUCUCUCUCUCUCUCUCUCUCUUCAAGGCUGGAAAUUCGAGUAGAGAAGAUAGAAUGGUGGUUAUGUCCCAGGUUUGAUGGUUGGAAAGGGAAGACAAUGGAAUUUUACAGGUCAGAGAAUUAAGAAACAAAACAAAAUUUCCUGACAAUUGAAACUAUACAACAUGAUGAUUGAAUGGAUUCCUUUUCACUAAUAGUCUUCAAACAAAGGUUGGCUGCUGGAUCAAAAUUUUUUGGGUAUGUUGUACUGGUUGAAGUAGCUGGGAAAGGUAGACAGUGUUUGAUCUGUCAAUAAUUAAAAAAUAAAUAUAAGAAAAAUGACA